rnacentral:rRNA from 1 species
UGGGGAAUAUUGGACAAUGGGGGGAACCCUGAUCCAGCCAUGCCGCGUGUGUGAAGAAGGCCUUAUGGUUGUAAAGCACUUUAAGCGAGGAGGAGGGUACUGGUAUUAAUACUACCAGCUACUGGACCUUACUCGCAGAAUAAGCACCGGCUAACUCUGUGCCAGCAGCCGCGGUAAUACAGAGGGUGCGAGCGUUAAUCGGAUUUACUGGGCGUAAAGCGUGCGUAGGCGGCUAAUUGAGUCGGAUGUGAAAUCCCCGAGCUUAACUUGGGAAUUGCAUUCGAUACUGGUUAGCUAGAGUGUGGGAGAGGAUGGUAGAAUUCCAGGUGUAGCGGUGAAAUGCGUAGAGAUCUGGAGGAAUACCGAUGGCGAAGGCAGCCAUCUGGCCUAACACUGACGCUGAGGUACGAAAGCAUGGGGAGCAAACAGG